rnacentral:snRNA from 1 species
GAGUCGUGUGGUGAGCACAAAGCGAACUAUUCUUUCGCCUUUUACUAAAGAAUACCGUGUGCUCACCACAUUAAAGUGACAUACGCCUGUUUUUGUCAGGGGCUCUCUUGUCUUG